AACUGAUACUACCUGCGGGAACCUGCGGAGGGAUCAUUAAUGAGAAACUGCCCCUCGCGGGUAGAUCUCCCACCCUUUGUAAACUUACCUUUGUUGCUUUGGCAGGCCCGUCUCCGGACCGCCGGCUUCGGCUGGCCAGUGCCUGCCAGAGGAUUCUAAAACUCUGUCUGUCAGUGUUGUCUGAGUCUAUAUACAAUCGUUAAAACUUUCAACAACGGAUCUCUAGAUCGGAAGAGCACA
rnacentral:misc_RNA from 1 species